rnacentral:hammerhead_ribozyme from 1 species
AUACGAAUAACGAGUCCCAAAUAGGACGAAACGCUCGUCCUGUAU